rnacentral:rRNA from 1 species
UACGUAGGAUGCAAGCGUUGUCCGGAAUUACUGGGCGUAAAGAGCUUGUAGGCGGUUUGUCGCAUCGUCUGUGAAAACUCACAGCUCAACUGUGAGCUUGCAGGCGAUACGGGCAGACUUGAGUACUGCAGGGGAGACUGGAAUUCCUGGUGUAGCGGUGAAAUGCGCAGAUAACAGGAGGAACACCGGUGGAGAAGGCGGGUCUCUGGGCAGUAACUGACGCUGAGAAGCGAAAGCGUGGGUAGCGAACAGG